rnacentral:lncRNA from 1 species
AUGGCAGGGAGAUGCUUUUAUUUUUUAAUAAAAAGAAAUCUGUUUUCUCUGUAUUAUGUAGUAUAUUUUGGGGCUCAGUGCAGGCCGGCCACUGACCAGGAUGUUCCUGUCUGCAGCGGAAGAUGGGGACGGGGACACCCAUCAGCAGCACCCGCUGAAGUCAGGGGGAGUUUCUGCACUGGCCUUGUGGAGCUUCCUGUCAGCAGGAAGAAGGGGAGGCUGAUGGUGGCAGGGUGGCUGUGCUUGAUACAAGCCUACAGCAAGGGCUCAGCAGCAAUGACCCACACGAGCCGCUGGCCCAGCCCAGGACGGUCCCUGCCACCGAAGUCAGAUCUGAAGAAUUUGCUGUUUCCCAUCUGCAGCCUUCAUCUUCCCGUAAGGAAGUUCAUGUUUUCUCCAGGUAUUUGCUGCUGGGAGCUGUGCCUAGUAAGGCAUUACAUCCUCAGGGUGCACCAAAGGGCCGGGACAGAGACACCAUGUGCUGGUUGCAGAGCAUCAUCAAGCUGUCAGCCCUCCGACCACCACAUCAGGCAGCACCAAAAGUUUAAGGGAAAGCAGCCCUACGAUGGCAACAGCACCUGA